rnacentral:rRNA from 1 species
UACAGAGGUGGCAAGCGUUGUUCGGAAUUACUGGGCGUAAAGGGCGCGUAGGCGGUCUUGUAAGUCUUGUGUGAAAUCCCUCGGCUUAACUGAGGAACUGCACGGGAUACUGCGAGACUUGAGAUCGGGAGAGGGAAGCGGAAUUCCGGGUGUAGCGGUGAAAUGCGUAGAUAUCAGGAGGAACACCGGUGGCGAAGGCGGAUCUCUGGGCCUUGCCUGACGCUGAGGCGCGAAAGCUAGGGGAGCGAACAGG